rnacentral:rRNA from 1 species
GACGAACGCUGGCGGCGUGCUUAACACAUGCAAGUCGAGCGGAAAGGCCACUUCGGUGGUACUCGAGCGGCGAACGGGUGAGUAACACGUGAGUAAUCUGCCCCUCACUCAGGGAUAACCAUUGGAAACGGUGGCUAAUACCUGAUAUGACCACGUCUCGCAUGGGGUGUGGUGGAAAGCGUUUAGUGGUGAGGGAUGUGCUCGCGGCCUAUCAGCUUGUUGGUGAGGUAGUGGCUCACCAAGGCUUCGACGGGUAGCCGGCCUGAGAGGGUGACCGGCCACACUGGGACUGAGACACGGCCCAGACUCCUACGGGAGGCAGCAGUGGGGAAUAUUGGACAAUGGGCGAAAGCCUGAUCCAGCAACGCCGCGUGAGGGAUGACGGCCUUCGGGUUGUAAACCUCUUUCACCCAUGACGAAGCGCAAGUGACGGUAGUGGGAGAAGAAGGACCGGCCAACUACGUGCCAGCCGCCGCAGUAAAAC